rnacentral:rRNA from 1 species
UUAAGUUAUUAAGGGCGCACGGUGGAUGCCUUGGCACUAGAAGCCGAUGAAGGACGUUACUAACGACGAUAUGCUUUGGGGAGCUGUAAGUAAGCUUUGAUCCAGAGAUUUCCGAAUGGGGAAACCCAGCAUGAGUUAUGUCAUGUUAUCGAUAUGUGAAUACAUAGCAUAUCAGAAGGCACACCCGGAGAACUGAAACAUCUUAGUACCCGGAGGAAGAGAAAGAAAAUUCGAUUCCCUUAGUAGCGGCGAGCGAAACGGGAAGAGCCCAAACCAAAAAGCUUGCUUGUUGGGGUUGUAGGACACUCUAUACGGAGUUACAAAGGACGACAUUAGACGAAUCAUCUGGAAAGAUGAAUCAAAGAAGGUAAUAAUCCUGUAGUCGAAAAUGUUGUCUCUCUUGAGUGGAUCCUGAGUACGACGGAGCACGUGAAAUUCCGUCGGAAUCUGGGAGGACCAUCUCCUAAGGCUAAAUACUCUCUAGUGACCGAUAGUGAACCAGUACCGUGAGGGAAAGGUGAAAAGCGCCCCGGAAGGGGAGUGAAAUAGAACCUGAAACCGUGUGCUUACAAGUAGUCAGAGCCCGUUAAUGGGUGAUGGCGUGCCUUUUGUAGAAUGAACCGGCGAGUUACGAUUUGAUGCAAGGUUAAGCAGUAAAUGUGGAGCCGUAGCGAAAGCGAGUCUGAAUAGGGCGUUUAGUAUUUGGUCGUAGACCCGAAACCAGGUGAUCUACCCUUGGUCAGGUUGAAGUUCAGGUAACACUGAAUGGAGGACCGAACCGACUUACGUUGAAAAGUGAGCGGAUGAACUGAGGGUAGCGGAGAAAUUCCAAUCGAACCUGGAGAUAGCUGGUUCUCUCCGAAAUAGCUUUAGGGCUAGCCUCAAGUGAUGAUUAUUGGAGGUAGAGCACUGUUUGGACGAGGGGCCCCUCUCGGGUUACCGAAUUCAGACAAACUCCGAAUGCCAAUUAAUUUAACUUGGGAGUCAGAACAUGGGUGAUAAGGUCCGUGUUCGAAAGGGAAACAGCCCAGACCACCAGCUAAGGUCCCAAAAUAUAUGUUAAGUGGAAAAGGAUGUGGCGUUGCCCAGACAACUAGGAUGUUGGCUUAGAAGCAGCCAUCAUUUAAAGAGUGCGUAAUAGCUCACUAGUCGAGUGACACUGCGCCGAAAAUGUACCGGGGCUAAACAUAUUACCGAAGCUGUGGAUUGUCCUUUGGACAAUGGUAGGAGAGCGUUCUAAGGGCGUUGAAGCAUGAUCGUAAGGACAUGUGGAGCGCUUAGAAGUGAGAAUGCCGGUGUGAGUAGCGAAAGACGGGUGAGAAUCCCGUCCACCGAUUGACUAAGGUUUCCAGAGGAAGGCUCGUCCGCUCUGGGUUAGUCGGGUCCUAAGCUGAGGCCGACAGGCGUAGGCGAUGGAUAACAGGUUGAUAUUCCUGUACCACCUAUAAUCGUUUUAAUCGAUGGGGGGACGCAGUAGGAUAGGCGAAGCGUGCGAUUGGAUUGCACGUCUAAGCAGUAAGGCUGAGUAUUAGGCAAAUCCGGUACUCGUUAAGGCUGAGCUGUGAUGGGGAGAAGACAUUGAGUCUUCGAGUCGUUGAUUUCACACUGCCGAGAAAAGCCUCUAGAUAGAAAAUAGGUGCCCGUACCGCAAACCGACACAGGUAGUCAAGAUGAGAAUUCUAAGGUGAGCGAGCGAACUCUCGUUAAGGAACUCGGCAAAAUGACCCCGUAACUUCGGGAGAAGGGGUGCUCUUUAGGGUUAACGCCCAGAAGAGCCGCAGUGAAUAGGCCCAAGCGACUGUUUAUCAAAAACACAGGUCUCUGCUAAACCGUAAGGUGAUGUAUAGGGGCUGACGCCUGCCCGGUGCUGGAAGGUUAAGAGGAGUGGUUAGCUUCUGCGAAGCUACGAAUCGAAGCCCCAGUAAACGGCGGCCGUAACUAUAACGGUCCUAAGGUAGCGAAAUUCCUUGUCGGGUAAGUUCCGACCCGCACGAAAGGCGUAACGAUUUGGGCACUGUCUCAACGAGAGACUCGGUGAAAUCAUAGUACCUGUGAAGAUGCAGGUUACCCGCGACAGGACGGAAAGACCCCGUGGAGCUUUACUGUAGCCUGAUAUUGAAAUUCGGCACAGCUUGUACAGGAUAGGUAGGAGCCUUUGAAACGUGAGCGCUAGCUUACGUGGAGGCGCUGGUGGGAUACUACCCUAGCUGUGUUGGCUUUCUAACCCGCACCACUUAUCGUGGUGGGAGACAGUGUCAAGCGGGCAGUUUGACUGGGGCGGUCGCCUCCUAAAAGGUAACGGAGGCGCUCAAAGGUUCCCUCAGAAUGGUUGGAAAUCAUUCAUAGAGUGUAAAGGCAUAAGGGAGCUUGACUGCGAGACCUACAAGUCGAGCAGGGUCGAAAGACGGACUUAGUGAUCCGGUGGUUCCGCAUGGAAGGGCCAUCGCUCAACGGAUAAAAGCUACCCCGGGGAUAACAGGCUUAUCUCCCCCAAGAGUUCACAUCGACGGGGAGGUUUGGCACCUCGAUGUCGGCUCAUCGCAUCCUGGGGCUGUAGUCGGUCCCAAGGGUUGGGCUGUUCGCCCAUUAAAGCGGUACGCGAGCUGGGUUCAGAACGUCGUGAGACAGUUCGGUCCCUAUCCGUCGUGGGCGUAGGAAAUUUGAGAGGAGCUGUCCUUAGUACGAGAGGACCGGGAUGGACAUACCUCUGGUGUACCAGUUGUCGUGCCAACGGCAUAGCUGGGUAGCUAUGUGUGGACGGGAUAAGUGCUGAAAGCAUCUAAGCAUGAAGCCCCCCUCAAGAUGAGAUUUCCCAACUUCGGUUAUAAGAUCCCUCAAAGAUGAUGAGGUUAAUAGGUUCGAGGUGGAAGCAUGGUGACAUGUGGAGCUGACGAAUACUAAUCGAUCGAAGACUUAAUCAA